rnacentral:rRNA from 1 species
AGAGUUUGAUCCUGGCUCAGGACGAACGCUGGCGGCGUGCUUAACACAUGCAAGUCGAACGAGACGAUUGAAAGCUUGCUUUUGAAAGUCGAGUGGCAAACGGGUGAGUAACGCGUAGACAACCUGCCGUAAAGAUGGGGACAACAGUCCGAAAGGACUGCUAAUACCGAAUGUUGUGGAACUCCCGCAUGGGAGCUCCACUAAAGAUGGCCUCUACUUGUAAGCUAUCGCUUUACGAUGGGUCUGCGUCUGAUUAGCUAGUUGGUGGGGUAACGGCUUACCAAGGCGACGAUCAGUAGCCGGUCUGAGAGGAUGAACGGCCACAUUGGAACUGAGACACGGUCCAGACUCCUACGGGAGGCAGCAGUGGGGAAUCUUCCGCAAUGGGCGCAAGCCUGACGGAGCAACGCCGCGUGAGUGAAGAAGGGUUUCGACUCGUAAAGCUCUGUUGUCGGGGACGAACGUGGAGACUAUGAAUAAUGGUUUUCAAUGACGGUACCUGACGAGGAAGCCACGGCUAACUACGUGCCAGCAGCCGCGGUAAUACGUAGGUGGCGAGCGUUGUCCGGAAUUAUUGGGCGUAAAGGGAGCGCAGGCGGGAGAUCAAGUCUAUCUUAAAAGUGCGGGGCUCAACCCCGUGAGGGGAUGGAAACUGGUCUUCUUGAGUGCAGGAGAGGAAAGCGGAAUUCCUAGUGUAGCGGUGAAAUGCGUAGAUAUUAGGAGGAACACCAGUGGCGAAGGCGGCUUUCUGGACUGUAACUGACGCUGAGGCUCGAAAGCGUGGGGAGCGAACAGGAUUAGAUACCCUGGUAGUCCACGCCGUAAACGAUGAAUGCUAGGUGUAGGAGGUAUCGACCCCUCCUGUGCCGGAGUUAACGCAAUAAGCAUUCCGCCUGGGGGAGUACGGCCGCAAGGCUGAAACUCAAAGGAAUUGACGGGGGCCCGCACAAGCGGUGGAGUAUGUGGUUUAAUUCGACGCAACGCGAAGAACCUUACCAGGGCUUGACAUUGAGUGAAAGGACUAGAGAUAGUUCCCUCUCUUCGGAGACACGAAAACAGGUGGUGCAUGGCUGUCGUCAGCUCGUGUCGUGAGAUGUUGGGUUAAGUCCCGCAACGAGCGCAACCCCUAUCCUUUGUUGCCAGCACAUAAUGGUGGGAACUCAAAGGAGACUGCCGCGGACAACGCGGAGGAAGGCGGGGAUGACGUCAAGUCAUCAUGCCCCUUAUGUCCUGGGCUACACACGUACUACAAUGGGAUGGACAGAGAGCAGCGAAGCCGCGAGGCCAAGCGAACCCCAUAAACCAUCUCCCAGUUCGGAUUGCAGGCUGCAACCCGCCUGCAUGAAGUUGGAAUCGCUAGUAAUCGCAGGUCAGCAUACUGCGGUGAAUACGUUCCCGGGCCUUGCACACACCGCCCGUC